UUUUGAUGCAUAUCUUUUUUUUUUUUCCUUUACAAGGAACAGAGAACCACUCAAAUUAGCUCAAAUGGAAAUGGGUUUUAUUGGAAAGUAAUAGGGGUUAUAUUAGUUUGCUAGGCUGCUACAAACUGAAUGGUUUAAACAACAGGAAUUUAUGGUUGCAGUCUGGAGGCCAGAAGUCUGAGAUGCAUAUUCAUGUCAUCUGCAAACAUAGUUCAUUUAUAUCUUCAUUGUUAUGUUUGUAAUCCCUAUUUUCUUUCCUGCUUGAAUGGUUUUGGAAUCCAAACAGUUUUUGCUUCAUAGAAUUUUUUGGGCUAUGUUUUAAUUCUAAAUAUUUCUGGAUAGUUACUGUUAUCUAUGUAUGAUCCUUUGACAUUUUUACAAAGUUUUACAAUGAAUCUGUAACAAUGAAAUGCUCAUUAUGUAAUGACUUCCUAUUUUUGUGUCAUUGACUUUAUUAAUGUGAAUCUUUUA